UUAAAUUGAAGAGUUUGAUCAUGGCUCAGAUUGAACGCUGGCGGCAGGCCUAACACAUGCAAGUCGAACGGUAGCACAGAGAGCUUGCUCUCGGGUGACGAGUGGCGGACGGGUGAGUAAUGUCUGGGAAACUGCCUGAUGGAGGGGGAUAACUACUGGAAACGGUAGCUAAUACCGCAUAACGUCGCAAGACCAAAGUGGGGGACCUUCGGGCCUCAUGCCAUCAGAUGUGCCCAGAUGGGAUUAGCUAGUAGGUGGGGUAACGGCUCACCUAGGCGACGAUCCCUAGCUGGUCUGAGAGGAUGACCAGCCACACUGGAACUGAGACACGGUCCAGACUCCUACGGGAGGCAGCAGUGGGGAAUAUUGCACAAUGGGCGCAAGCCUGAUGCAGCCAUGCCGCGUGUAUGAAGAAGGCCUUCGGGUUGUAAAGUACUUUCAGCGAGGAGGAAGGCAUUAAGGUUAAUAACCUUGGUGAUUGACGUUACUCGCAGAAGAAGCACCGGCUAACUCCGUGCCAGCAGCCGCGGUAAUACGGAGGGUGCAAGCGUUAAUCGGAAUUACUGGGCGUAAAGCGCACGCAGGCGGUCUGUCAAGUCGGAUGUGAAAUCCCCGGGCUCAACCUGGGAACUGCAUUCGAAACUGGCAGGCUUGAGUCUCGUAGAGGGGGGUAGAAUUCCAGGUGUAGCGGUGAAAUGCGUAGAGAUCUGGAGGAAUACCGGUGGCGAAGGCGGCCCCCUGGACGAAGACUGACGCUCAGGUGCGAAAGCGUGGGGAGCAAACAGGAUUAGAUACCCUGGUAGUCCACGCCGUAAACGAUGUCUAUUUGGAGGUUGUUCCCUUGAGGAGUGGCUUCCGGAGCUAACGCGUUAAAUAGACCGCCUGGGGAGUACGGCCGCAAGGUUAAAACUCAAAUGAAUUGACGGGGGCCCGCACAAGCGGUGGAGCAUGUGGUUUAAUUCGAUGCAACGCGAAGAACCUUACCUGGUCUUGACAUCCACGGAAUUUGGCAGAGAUGCCUUAGUGCCUUCGGGAACCGUGAGACAGGUGCUGCAUGGCUGUCGUCAGCUCGUGUUGUGAAAUGUUGGGUUAAGUCCCGCAACGAGCGCAACCCUUAUCCUUUGUUGCCAGCGGUUAGGCCGGGAACUCAAAGGAGACUGCCAGUGAUAAACUGGAGGAAGGUGGGGAUGACGUCAAGUCAUCAUGGCCCUUACGACCAGGGCUACACACGUGCUACAAUGGCAUAUACAAAGAGAAGCGACCUCGCGAGAGCAAGCGGACCUCAUAAAGUAUGUCGUAGUCCGGAUUGGAGUCUGCAACUCGACUCCAUGAAGUCGGAAUCGCUAGUAAUCGUGAAUCAGAAUGUCACGGUGAAUACGUUCCCGGGCCUUGUACACACCGCCCGUCACACCAUGGGAGUGGGUUGCAAAAGAAGUAGGUAGCUUAACCUUCGGGAGGGCGCUUACCACUUUGUGAUUCAUGACUGGGGUGAAGUCGUAACAAGGUAACCGUAGGGGAACCUGCGGUUGGAUCACCUCCUUACCUUAAAGAA
rnacentral:rRNA from 1 species